UUGCUGCAUCGUGAUGUUAGAGGCAGAAGGGUCACGCAGGCAACUGCAAAGCUGUGGCAUCAAGAGGAUCCCAGAAAAGCUCUGCUGUGAGGACGAGCAGAAGUGCAGAAGCUGCAGAACAGUGAGAUCAGUCUUGUCCCAGCGUCCGCCAGAGAGGACGAACCGCUUCUGCCGGUUGCGCCCGCUCUGUCCGUCCGUCAGCACCGGGAGGUCGGGCACGCCGCACCGGGGGGGGUUCCAGCGUGCCACCUGCUCCUCUGUACCCACAGGGAAGCCCUUGGCAGGCACACCAGUCCCCACAGCGUUCACCAAGGAGGAUAGCCAAGGAGCCUGCUCCUUCCAGGUGUGAUGCUUUCGAGACAUCUCCUAAAAGGCAAAAGCAAAGCCAUGACUUCAGCGCCUGGAAAGACACUUCUUGAUGUGGAGUCAGUGGACAUCAGCAGUCCUGACGCGGGCCAGAAUGAACAGGACAGCUGCUCCCAGGCACAUGGGGAGAGAGGAGAUGGACCCCUGGGAGAGCCCUCACUGUGGAACUGGGAGCACUGGAAAACCCUCAGGAGUUGCCCAGGUAGGUGAGUGGGAUGAGGCUGACCCGGAUGGGCUUACUCCUGUUUUUUGUCUGGACGACACUAAGCACAUUCCCCCUCCUGGGAAGGCCAGCUGCCUUACAGGCUGGGGAUACUGGCACAAACUGGAGAUCAUCACUCUCCUCUGAGCAAGAGCAGAGAGAGGAGAAACUACCUGUUUCCUUCUUGUCCCAAGAAAUCCCAUGUUCAGAGGCAGGCCAGAGGUAGUUUUUCUCUCCCCUCUUUGAUUAGCUCAAGGCCACUGGCAUGAAUCCCAGCCUUUCAAACCCCACCUUGCCUUAGCCAGGACCCUUCCUGCUCCCUCCUGCCUGCCCUGUGCAGAGACCCAGCCCUGGGAGGGCUGGUCCUGCGAAUGGCUCUGGGUGGAGGCAGGGGGGAAGACCUUCCCUGCUGCCCUGAGCUGUGCCCCUGGACAAACAGUAACUCUCUCCCUGUCGUCACUGCACCAACAUUAGGACCAUGGCAGGAAAGGGCUGGAAAAUGCCACUGCAGGCACAGCCAGCAAGGGGAAAUGUGACAGGCAGAAACCACUUGCCAAACAAUACUCAGGAGACACUCGGGCUGGAGAUCUUGGUCUCCUUGGCUGGACACACCUUGCUGCAGGCACUUCCCGGGGCUUAGAUAACGUGUCCGCUCACUUAAGGUUGUAUCCUUCCCACCCAGCACUGAGCCCACCCUCUCCUGGGGAGACCUUGCUUAGUUCUCAGAGCUGUGGUACAAUGCCCUGGCUGCAUCCUUAGGGCUUCACUUAGGGCUGUGCUGCUGCUGAAACCAGUACAGACCUGUAAGGAGAGGGUGAGGAGGGCACUGGCUGCUGGGUACCUGUCGGGGCAUCCCCACUCCUCCCAUCCCACCAGCAGAGGGAAAGGGAUUGCUGAACACAAAAGCAAAGGAAAACCCCUGCAGCCCGGGGCAGGGUUCAGCCCAGCUGAGUGCAAAACAUAUCUGAGCAUCUGGCUGAGUGUGUGCAGCCACUUGCUCUGCCCUUCCCAGUAUAACCAGCAGUUGGGGUGGCCACUGUGCCCGGGAACAGCUGGUUUGUAGUCAAGGAAGAGGCCAGGGCUUUGCAAUGGAGACUGAGCAGCAAAAUGCCAGCACAGUAUGAGCACAGAGGGGCUGCUAGGCCUGAGACCAAUGGUGGGGACAGUGGAGAAGCAAAGCUGUACACAGAGUGCUGUGGUGCAGACUGGUCACAGCUCCUCACAAAGAACGUGCCUCUUCCUGCAGCCUUGUGACUGAGAGGCUGAGAGGGAAUGGGAGGGAAUGGACAGAUCCCAUGGGAGACCAGAAACCACAGCGGAGGUACAGGCUGCCCACUCAGUUCCUUACAGCUUUAUCAGUGCUGCGAUACAACAGCCAUCACUUCUGGGUCUAACGGGGCCAGAUGAACACCAGCCAAGCUUCCCAGGAAGCGUCCCAGCCAUCCCAAGGAGCCAGGAGCAUCUUUAACCUCAUUGUGUUGGGCAGCACUCGCCCUCCAGAGCUCCCAGGAGGAGCAGCAGCCAGAGCAGCACAGCUACAGUCAAGUAUCAGCAACACCCCGUUUGAAUGAGAGAGGCCGGUGCCUGGUACUGACAAACCCACUCUCUCCUCUGCCUGGGUCCAUCCUCCUCUGCCUGCCCUGAACUUAAACUUGUGUCCUCUGUUGUGUACCUAAUUACCUGGGCUCCUGUCUGCUUCUGCAGCAUGGACAUGAAAGGAGACCCCUCUCCCUGUCAGACAGGAGUGAUUGGACAAGUUACAACAUGAAUCCCAUCAGUUUUGGAUAUCUCCCCUGUCAUUGGGGCUGUUUCCUUUUCUGCUGGGGAAUGAGCUCAUGGACUGUCUUCCCACCUCCCUGUCCCUUCUGUUGCUGGUUUUCCAUUUCUCCCUGCUUUCUUCUUCCAUUACUCAGAGUGUUUGUCAAGGCCUUGGUGUUUGCUGCCUCUCUGGCUAGUAGCAUUACCCUCCUUCCACCUACGAGCCUGCACAUUGGAGCACUCCUGCCCUUAUUUCAAUGCACUGGGAAGGACAGCAGAGAUGCUUUCACCUGCAGCUCUCAUGUAAAACAGUUCUCUCAUGCCAUUUCUGCCCACUGUGGGGUGUCUGUGCCCCCCAAGGGGCUUGCACCCCCUUAAGAGCAAUGUUCCUGCCUGAGAUCAGCACUAUUGUCCUGAUGCACAGGGUACCAUGGCCGGCUUUUUAUUGAGCCUGCCUCUCAGCCCAGCAUGGCUUUGCAGGGGUUGGAUUUGAAACUGCAGCUACAGCUGAUGGUUAGUGGUAAAACUGCAGUCAGGUUGUGUCCCAGAAGCAAACUGGCCCAGGAAGGUGCUGCAGCUUAACUUUCACAGCAGAAGCACAUUACUGUGGUCUGGUCUGACCCUGAGCUAAGUGUGUUCCUGGUCAAGGCACUGUUAGUGGAAACAACACCUAGGCAAAGCCACCAGAUUUAUUGAUCCUACCUCCUCCAGAACAAGGCAGAGUCUCCCAACCCCUCUAACUAUGAAUUCUUUCCUUACACAAAAUACUUCUGCUACAGGACUGGCUCCUUUGUGCUGGGCUGCAGGCAGAGCCAGGGAGAACACAAAGGCUGAGGCCAAAUGGGAGCUGCUGCAGUGCCUGGCCAUGCAGUUGGAUAUUCCUCUCCACUCACUUCCCAUACUCUGUGGCACCAUCCAGCACUACCUCCUGGGGCCUGACAGUUUGUUUCCGGAUUACUUGCUGGUAGUUGUUGUUGGCAACAAAAAAAGAAAAAUGUUUAUUUUUCCUAAGCAACGUUGAACAUGAAACAUUAUGGACUGCAAAUGUUUAUGCCCACAGACAGAAUGAGAAGAACCAGGCCUUCGAGUAACAAGAGAAAGCAAAUGAAUAAACACUGCACGACUAUUUUUAUUAUCAGACAUUUUAAUUAUGUGACAAUUUGUGAGUCUAUUCCAUCAACAACACCAAAACCAAACUGCUAGUGUCACCCAAGCAACAGUUUGCCAGAAACAGGACUACUUACAGAGCAAACAAACCCCAGGAUGCCGGGAUAGCAAAAGGUUUCAAGAGCCCUUAAUCUGAUGACCUAGAAAUCCCCUUGAACCUAAGAAACAGCUCUAGGAUGCAGCAAACUCCCGGCAGGGGAGGAAGGGGGUUGAGGUGUUUUGUUCAUUGUGCAGUUACAUCCAAGCUAAGGUGAGCCAUGAACAAUGGCUGGGAUGUCUCCCACUGGGUUUGACCACCCAUCACAGUGCAGCCCUCUCCAGAGCUAUGGGGGGAUGUUUUAGCCUCAGGGAGUGCAGGAUGCUCAAAUGUGCAGUCUGGGAUCUCCACACCCACAAGACAAGCACUUUUCCCCUGCCCAAUCUCCUGGAGAUGUCAGGGGGGUUUUCCUCCUCUGGUAGCUUUCGGAGUCACUUUUGUGAGAUGUCUUUCUCCUGCCCAAAGACUACUAAGAGGAGAUCUGCUCACCUGUCUGUCCUUGUUGGGACUCAUCUGCACCAGGAUCUCAGUGAACCUCUAAAAACAUGUCUGUGGCCCUCAGUGAACCCCUGAAGUGCUCUGCUUUUCACUUUGCUAGGCAGCUAUGUGCAAACUCAGCAGUGCUUCCAUUCACAUCACAGGCUGAGCCAUCCCCAGAGUAAGAAUAUCCAGGGAGCUUUCAUUUACCUGUCUGCGUAUUUGGAAUUAGUAGGAAAGAGCUACUUAGUAGGAAAGAGGAUGACCAGCAUCUCUGCAGGCCAAUUUUCCGCAGAAGAUUCUUUUCAAACAAGUCCUGUGUGGUGCAUCCUUUCUGCAGAGCCCCACAAGGUGUGGUGCAAGGGCAGGACAAGUGUGGGGGAAGCAGGGAAAGUGCAACAUAAGCUGGAGAGGGGGAUCCUCCCCAGGGUUCUUCUCUCCUCCCUGCCCUUUUCUCCCUCCCGGAUCCGCUUUGCCAGCUGCACCUCCCAGGUCUUGCCACACCGCAGGGUGUGCGUGCGUGUUGCAUGUGGAAGCACAAACACAACAAACCCGCUGGAGAAUAACUGCUUACAUGUGUCUUGAGUCUCUCCCAGAGCAGAAGAUAAACAUGCCUAAAAUUACCCCAACACUGACUGUAGCAUUCAAAUAGCCAAACCAAAGAGUGCAAAUACAGCCCUUCCUGCGGGAGCUGCCUGAACCCCGAGCAAGGCAAGCAGCCUCCCCGGCUCCUCGGCUGCGGGGAAGGCACCGCUGUGCUUCCAGCGGGGAACCUGCUGCGUUCGGGGUGAGAGCUGCAGGACACGGAUUACGUUGGCAGCUGGGAGGGUGCCCACCACUUCUCCACGGAGGGAGAGCUUCCCAGCAAAUGGACAGACUUUGAUUUCCCAGGGGAGCUGAAAGCAAUGCAGGAAUUCAGUGUCUGCGCGUGCACAGCCCCAAGGACUGCAGAUCUUUUGUUCUCAAGUUUUACAGUGGACACCAGACACAGCCUUUAUUCUGCUCUCAGUUUUCUCUUUCUUUCUUUAGGCAUUAAUAUAAAAGUGAAGGAGAUCUACAGGGUUUGCCUCGAAGAACACAAGUCCUCCUGCAACUUGCCCUGUAGCCUGGCUUUAAAAUGAAUCUUGGCCCUUGAUUCCCUCCUUUCAGAGUUACUGGUGUUGUGACUUGUUAUUGGAGCACAAACAGCCAUGGUGCAGCACACUGCUGCACCGAGGGCUGUCCUUGCCCACCCCCUCUACCAGCACAGCCCGAGGAAGUCACCUUUGUCUGUCUUAUUGGAGUGUGAAUCUCUUUUACCAGCUCAGCCUCUUGGCUCCUUUCUCAUUCAUCACCCAACAGCAAAAGGUGGCCAGACAGGAAAUUAGCUGCUGUCAGACAUCAGGGAAACAUCCCUUUGUGCAGAGAGACUCCAAGUAGCCAGAGAAGGGAACAUGAUGCAGCUCUCUAGCAAGAGAGGGUAGAGAAAAGCUGAGGCCAGAUGCACAUGCACGGGUCCCUGUCAGCCCAGCAAUCCCACAUCAGCUAUCCUGCACUGACAUGUGUUUCCCAGGAGGAGAGGAAUGGGGUGCACUGCCAACUUACAUCAUAUGUGAGAGCAACCCCCAGGUAAUAGUGGCUUUACCUCACAGGCAGUAGAAUAACCUUCAGAAGCCUUGACAUCAGAUAAGGAACCCAAAAGGGCAGCUAUUUGGGACGACAGAACUGCUGUUUGAAAGGAUGGGAAAUCAUCUGUCCGUUUCCAAUCCCAAACCAAUGCAGCCACCAUCUCUGCAAAGACUGAAAUACAUUGAUCCAAAACUCUGAGCCCCACAUGGCUGGUCAAACACACAAGCACAAGGUAUUCCUGAACAAAACAUACCUGUAGGAGCAUCACCUGGAGUUACUCCAGCCAAGAGGAAAGCAUCAGCAUUCACAAUGCAGAGCAUUAGCCUAGGAUGAGGAAGAAACCAGAUUGCCACCUGGGGGGAACCUUCUUCUGGAGCAUGGUGGUGGAUUAGGUGGACCAGAAGCCUGAGCAAACCUGGACCUCUGCAUUAACUCUGUGCUCUUCAGCAAUUUGCUGUGUUCCCCACUUCAAGGGGUACUGUCCAAGGCAGGUGAGCCCCAGCAACCUCUGCAGUCAGUCAGCAGCUGCGAGCACUGGUAAAAGGACAGUGACGCCACAGCUGGACCGGGCCCAAAGUCAGAUGGUGUGAAACCCAGGCUGGCUCUCCCUUCCCUGGAGAUCCCACACAGGUCUUUGCUGGCAACAAGACCAGGACCAGAGGCUGUGCAGGUCCCCCCAGGAGCAGCAGCUUCACAGCUUGCACACAUCAGAGCGUGAGGCACCUGCCAGCCCAGCCCACGUCCCGCAGGAACCGGCGGUCUCCAGCUUAACGCAGGUGGAGCUCUGCCCUCCCUUGCUGCACUCCAAUGGGGCUGAAAUCCACGGUGGUGUCAUUACUGGAGUGCAGAGUGCCACCACCGAGUGCUUGGUCUCACCUUCCUCAGAGGCAGAGCGGAGCCAAACACAGUGACAUUUCAUUUGGAAUAACACAAGCACUUUGGGGGCCAAAGCUGCUCUGUGCCAAGUCCCAGCCCACAGCAUAUUUAGCAGCCAAGUUAGAAAGUACUCAGAUGACAGAGCUGAUAAUAAAACCAUCGACAGAACCUGAACUAAUCCCCUUGGGCUGCUACCGGGCAUUUGCUCUGUUAUUAUUUCAUGGCACACCAGCGAAGCGCAUGUCUAUAAUAACCCAAUUACGCACGCACACAUUCCCAGCACAAGGAGCUCUCUGUCUUCUCCCGUCCCCCAAAUCCCUCGCACACCGCUGCUCUUCUCUGGCAGCCGCAGUCCCUGCUGCUCGCAGCUCCGUCCCAGGUGCUGGGAUCGGGCAGGCAUGUGCAGAAAGAAAGAGCCCCGCUGCUCCUCUCCUGCCUGCGCCUUUGAUUCAUCCCUUUAGUCUCCUCUCUCCGUAACACUUCUCAGAACUUCCAGCACAGCUUGCGGGGGGUGUUUGAGCAGCAGCGAGUGCUCUGCUGCCUCUAAAGCAGAGGGGAUCCCGUGUCCUCUCCUAAACCCUCCUUAUCCCGAUCCCUGUUUUUCUCUCGGGAGCACGCCUGUGGAACCUCCCCUAACAUGUCAAGAGGAGCCCGCCGAGCGGAGCCACCGCCGGGGCAGGGGCAGCCGUCCCGCGGCGGUGCCUCAAGGCAGCGCUGCCCGUGCCGGCAACCCGAGGGCGGCUCGGGGAUGGAUGGAAACGGUGUGGGGGGAAGACGGCUCAUCCCGUUCAGCGGAGGGUCUGCCUGGGAGAUGCUGCCCUCGGGACCGCACCGGAGAGCGGCGGGGGGCACGGAGAGAGGCACCGGGUGGUCCCGACUCACCGGCUUGUGUCGGCGGGCGGGCGCGGCGGGCGCGCAGUGCAGCAGAGCGGCGGCCAGCAAGGCGGCGGCGGCGGGCAGCGGGGCACGGGCCAUGCC